CCUACGGGAGGCAGCAGUGGGGAAUCUUGCGCAAUGGGCGAAAGCCUGACGCAGCCAUGCCGCGUGAAUGAUGAAGGUCUUAGGAUUGUAAAAUUCUUUCACCGAGGACGAUAAUGACGGUACUCGGAGAAGAAGCCCCGGCUAACUUCGUGCCAGCAGCCGCGGUAAUACGAAGGGGGCUAGCGUUGCUCGGAAUUACUGGGCGUAAAGGGAGCGUAGGCGGAUAGUUUAGUCAGAGGUGAAAGCCCAGGGCUCAACCUUGGAAUUGCCUUUGAUACUGGCUAUCUUGAGUACGGAAGAGGUAUGUGGAACUCCGAGUGUAGAGGUGAAAUUCGUAGAUAUUCGGAAGAACACCAGUGGCGAAGGCGACAUACUGGUCCGUUACUGACGCUGAGGCUCGAAAGCGUGGGGAGCAAACAGGAUUAGAUACCCUGGUAGUCCACGCUGUAAACGAUGAGUGCUAGUUGUCGGCAUGCAUGCAUGUCGGUGGACGCAGCUAACGACAUUAAGUACACUCCGCCGUCGGGGUAGGUACGGUCGGCGAAGAAGUUAAAACUAACAAAUAGAAGUUAGACGGCGUGAGACGUGCCGACGGACGACGACGAGGGAGGUUAGG
rnacentral:rRNA from 1 species